rnacentral:rRNA from 1 species
GCCAACAACUAUGUCACCUUUAGUUCAGACUAGAUAAUUCACCUGAAGCUGAGCAGGUUUGGGCCUGAUCAGUACUCGGAUGGGAAACUAAUAAGGAAAGCCGGGUUGCUGCUGGAA